GAUGAACGCUGGCGGCGUGCCUAAUACAUGCAAGUCGAACGAACAGAUUAGUAGCUUGCUCCUCUGACGUUAGCGUCUUAUGGGUGAGUAACACGUGGAUAACCUACCUAUAAGACUGGGAUAACGUCGGGAAACCGGAGCUAAUACCGGAUAAUAUAUUGAACCGCAUGGUUCAAUAGUGAAAUACUGUUUUGCUGUCACUUAUAGAUGGAUCCGCUCCGCAUUAGCUAGUUGGUAAGGUAACGGCUUACCAAGGCAACGAUGCGGAGCCGACCUGAGAGGGUGAUCCGACACACUGGAACUGAGAGACGCUCCAGACUCCUACGGGAGGCAGCAGUAGGGAAUCUUACGCAAUGGGCGAAAGCCUGACGGAGCAACGCCGCGUGAGUGAUGAAGGUCUUCGGAUCGUAAAACUCUGUUAUUAGGGAAGAACAAAUGUGUAAGUAACUAUGCACGUCUUGACGGUACCUAAUCAGAAAGCAACGGCUAACUACGUG
rnacentral:rRNA from 1 species